rnacentral:rRNA from 1 species
UACGGGGGGGGCAAGCGUUGUUCGGAAUUACUGGGCGUAAAGGGUUCGUAGGUGGCCAACUAAGUCAUACGUGAAAUCCCUCAGCUUAACUGGGGAACUGCGUCUGAUACUGGUUGGCUUGAGUGCAGGAGAGGAACGCGGAAUUCCAGGUGUAGCGGUGAAAUGCGUAGAUAUCUGGAGGAACACCGGUGGCGAAGGCGGCGACCUGGGUAGAUACUGACGCUGAGGCGCGAAAGCGUGGGGAGCAAACAGG